UGCUAGGCGGGGAGGUAGCGGUGCCCUGUACCCGCAAUCCGCUGCAGCGGGGUUGAAUUCCCGCCCCAGGGUUUAGCUUGUGGGGUCCGGCAGCCGUAAGGAGCGUUGAAGAUUGGGUCUCGUGCGACGGGGCUUCUUGAACCGUGUCAGGUCCUGACGGAAGCAGCACUAAGGGAAAUACCCCGGGUGCCGCGAGAGUGCCUGGUCCGAGCCACCUGCGGGUGUAUCGCCCGGAAGCUAAUAUUCGAAGGCAGGUGCAUGG
rnacentral:SRP_RNA from 1 species